rnacentral:lncRNA from 1 species
CGUCAUCUGGCUUAUGUUCUUCAUGUAGCAUUUAGACCGAAUGACUAUGAAAUUACGUCGAUACUUCCACAUAUUAUGGGUAACGUAGGAGACAUCUCUAUUUUCCCCCCGGUGAAUCUUUAGUAUUCCCACUGCUUAACUUUCAAUUCGCCUCUGACCAUCAAAUGAAAUGUCCAUAACCCAUCCUCCUCUCUUUGAAAGAAGGGGCGCUUCCGGUUCUGUCGGUGCUUGAAACAAUUUUGUCUUCUCCAUAUUACUAUAUCUCUAGAGUCCAUAAUUUUAUAUGAGGAACUACUGAACUAAAUCACUUGCUACCGUUACUCAUCAGUUUUCUGUUGAGGUCUAUCCUGUAGAGGUACUCAAAUUGGUUCAGUGAUCGAUUUCUAGGUUUCGUUGUAAACCUAAUUGGUUAUUUCCAAUUACGUAAAUCAAUA